rnacentral:rRNA from 1 species
UACAGAGGUCCCGAGCGUUGUUCGGAUUUAUUGGGCGUAAAGGGUGCGUAGGCGGCGGAGUAAGUUGGGUGUGAAAUCCCGGGGCUCAACCUCGGAAUGGCAUUCAAUACUGCUUCGCUAGAGUACUGGAGAGGAGGUUGGAAUUUACGGUGUAGCAGUGAAAUGCGUAGAUAUCGUAAGGAAGGCCGGUGGCGAAAGCGAGCCUCUGGACAGUUACUGACGCUGAUGCACGAAGGCCAAGGGGAGCAAACCGGG